GUGUCAGCAGCCGCGGUAAUACAGAGGGUGCAAGCGUUAAUCGGAAUUACUGGGCGUAAAGGGUGCGUAGGUGGUUUGAUAAGUUGGGUGUGAAAGUCCUGGGCUUAACCUAGGGAUUGCGCUCAAUACUGUCAAGCUAGAGUACUGUAGAGGAAGGUGGAAUUUCCAGUGUAGCGGUGAAAUGCGUAGAUAUUGGAAGGAACAUCAGUGGCGAAGGCGACUUUCUGGACAGAUACUGACACUGAGGCACGAAAGCGUGGGGAGCAAACAGGAUUAGAUACCCUGGUAGUCC
rnacentral:rRNA from 1 species